CCUACGUGGAGCAGCAGUGAGGAAUAUUGGUCAAUGGGCUUACGCCUGAACCAGCCAAGUCGCGUGAGGGAAGACUGCCCUAUGGGUUGUAAACCUCUUUUGUCAGGGAGCAAUUGGCGCUACGUGUAGCGUUAUCGAGAGUACCUGAAGAAAAAGCAUCGGCUAACUCCGUGCCAGCAGCCGCGGUAAUAAGGAGGAUGCGAGCGUUAUCCGGAUGUAUUGGGUUUAAAGGGUGCGUAGGCGGAAUGCCCAGUCAGCGGUAAAAUCUCGGGGCUCCACCUCGCUCCGCCGUUGAAACGGGCGUUCUUGAGGGGGCGAGAAGUAUGCGGAAUGCGUGGUGUAGCGGUGAAAUGCAUAG
rnacentral:rRNA from 1 species